GAUUUACACAUUAUUUUAUUAAAAUGACAUUAACCGUCUGAUGGUGUUUGCUCAUGUUUGUAUUAAUCUUUACUUUGUGACUCUGUCUUUCCUGAACAAGAACUUUCCUAGUCCACUGUCAGCUGAAUUAUUUUUAAUAUUUCCACAUUAGCUGAAUGUUUGGAUCCUGUUAAUCUGAACUUCCUCACUCACAGGUUCUCGCUGCAUGUUUCUGAUGUGGCCAGCAGGGGGCAGAGUUUGACAACUCACCGACCGGCAGCACAGAGCCGAGCUGAGAGGGAGGAGGAGCAGGAACAACAUUUUAAAAUUGUGUAUAUAAUGAAAACCAACAUGUUGUGUUUUCUCUUAGGGAAGUUGGUGCUUUAUUUGUUUGGCUGGCCCCUUUCCGGAGGGUCGAGGGCUCCGUCCCUUCCCCAUAUGAUGCUAUUAUAUCACCGAUGGAUGGACGAUCAUCUUGUUUGGUGAACUGAGGUGAAAUCUGGUGAAUGUGGAGACGACUGUGGAGGAGAGGAAGGACGAGGACACAAAGACCAGAGUGAAGGAGAGAGGAGCGGACAGAACGCUGAUGGAUGAUCAUCAGAAAGAAGAGAGAGACUGAGAAUGAAGAGCAAGAGACAUUGCGUCUCUCUUACCCAGACAAAGGGACCAUCUUCUCUUAAGAGACAUGUCGUGACUGUGGGCCGUGCUGCGAUGCUGCAGUCAAACCUCAACCUGCAUCAUUUCACUGGAGACAACACUGGACAUCACAGUGUGUCCAUCAGGUGGUUUCAUGCAGGACAAUACACACAAACAAAGAGCAGUGACAACGUGACCUCCUUAAUGAGGUAAUCACUUUUACACACUCUCCUCCUGCUCUCUCUCUUUCUCACACACACUUCUCAAGUUUCUAC